UACGAAGGGGGCCAGCGUUGCUCGGAAUCACUGGGCGUAAAGCGCACGUAGGCGGAUCUUUAAGUCAGGGGUGAAAUCCUGGAGCUCAACUCCAGAACUGCCUUUGAUACUGGGGAUCUCGAGUCCGGGAGAGGUGAGUGGAACUGCGAGUGUAGAGGUGAAAUUCGUAGAUAUUCGCAAGAACACCAGUGGCGAAGGCGGCUCACUGGCCCGGUACUGACGCUGAGGUGCGAAAGCGUGGGGAGCAAACAGG
rnacentral:rRNA from 1 species